rnacentral:tRNA from 1 species
GUCCCGGUAGCUCAAUUGGAUAGAGCAUCCCCCUCCUAAGGGGAAGGUUGGAGGUUCUUAUACAGACUCCGGUUUA